GGGACGUUAGCUCAGUUGGUAGAGCAGCGGACUUUUAAUCCGUUGGUCACUGGUUCGAAUCCAGUACGUCCUA
rfam:Variovorax paradoxus strain TBEA6 VPARA_contig000018, whole genome shotgun sequence.